rnacentral:misc_RNA from 1 species
UCCCCUGCUUCUUGAAGACUAGACUCCAGUGCCUCCAAUCCUUUCAAAACAAUUUGCACCUGAUCGAUGUCUUUGCUUGACCUCAAGACAAGCAAUGCACCAUCGAUCUUCUCUGCUUCAUUGGCUUCAACAUCCCCAUUCUUGGGUUGCAAUAAUUUUGAGACAAUAGACCAGCCAAAGAGCUCUGUUUUUCGCUUUGUAUGGGAAAUGAAAGAUAAGAUGGACUCAAACACAGCAAGACUAGUUUCCUCAGCACCUUUUAGCAUGUUAAUCAUG